CCCGUCAGUCUCGCGCAUGAUUCCGUGGCGAGAGGGAGUGUUCUUUCGCUUCGGCGCUUAAUUUUUGUCGCGGAGAAAAAUCAAUGAUAUUUUCGUAAACGAGGAACGCUAAAACGAUCGGUUCACCUUGUCGAAGGGAUCGGUAAAGACGGUCAGGUGAUAAUUAAGUAAGUGCGUUAACGUAACAACGUUGGUCAGUGAUAAACGAUCAGUGCCCAGAAUCGCUCGUGAUCGAUUCCUUGUGUAUAUUUUGUCAAGGUGUUUUCUCGAACCGUUCUUUGGUCCGGAUAUUAUGCUACCGAUCGCGUGUGCUGCAAGAUCGUUUUGACUCGAGGGGCAGUCGACCAUAGAUCACCGACAAAAUGUUACCGCAGACCCCUGACAUCAUUCCUACGACGUUAAAUCAGCAAAAAUGCGUGAAAGCGCGGGCCCUGUACGACAAUAUAGCGGAAGCCCCGGACGAGCUUGCUUUCCGAAAGGGCGACGUCCUUACGGUGCUGGAACAAAACACCGCUGGCCUCGAGGGUUGGUGGCUGUGCGCUCUGCGGGGUAGACAGGGCAUCUGUCCAGGAAAUCGAUUGAGACUUCUGGUCGGCCAAUAUGAUACAGGGGGUUGUUUGGUUGGCAGUAGGCCUGACCUAACCAUUUCCGAAGACGGCAUACAGAGGCACGGAAAACGGCGUAGCUGGCACGUUCAACCGAACAGGGUGGUGACUCCACAGAAAUGCGGCGACGUGUACCUCUACGAUCUUCCAGCGAGCCGAGGAAGUCCUGCUCCACCCUCCAGGCACGAUUCACCCUUGAACUCGAAUAACGAGCAUUUACACAACUCAGGCCGAUACACGACGAGCAGCAGGAAUUCCGUGGACAACGGUGGCGACGUGAGCGAUUGUUACGACGUGCCACCACGAGCCAUCCCCGUGAUUCCAUCGCCCGCGAGCAGUCCGAGCCCUGCACCUUCGUGCUACGACAUCCCAAGGCCGCCUACGUCCUGCACGCCGAUCUCCAACUGCUCAGGAGGAUCGGGCGUGAUGCCUCUCGACUGCUACGACGUGCCCAGGCCUCUGCAACCCCUCACCCCGAGCAGCUCGGCGUCCAGUCUCACCAACGAUGGAUCCCUCAGCGGAUCGAACCGAUCAAGCUUGGCUGCUCCGGAUUACGAUGUACCUAGAUCGCGUCUUCCAGCAUCCUCGUUACCGUCCCGGCACAAUACGCCCGUGCCCAAAACACCGACACCUCCACCCCCGCCGCAAACCCAGCAGAUCUACGACGUUCCAGUCAGCAAGGAGCUUCCUCUGGAGCUGGACUCCGCUUUGGAAGGUCUACAAAGGCUGCAGAGCGAGGCGUCCGCCGCGAUAGCUAGGCUAUUAGGAUUCGUCAGCCCGGUGUGGAGGACGCCUCAGCGAUUGGACGCAACGUUGAUGGAUCUUAGGCUCGCCGCCCUCAGACUCAGAACGUCUUUGCACGAUCUGGCCGAAUUCGCUGAAGGCACACUUGGGAAUGCGGGGAAAGCGCCGGACAAGGGGCUGGCCACGAAACUGCGGCCCCUGGUCAAGGCUCUCCGCGAUUCCGACAAGCUCGUGCAGGAAGCGGCCACCGAGCUCGACGCGAUGGAGUGGGACGCGGGCAAGCUGUGUCGCGGGGGCGGCGAUACCCCGACGCCGACUAACGGGCCGCCUUCCACCAUUUUGCCACCGGCGCAACCGGACCCGCUCGAUCAGCUGAUCGCGUGCGCCCGGGCGCUCACGGAAGACGUUCGUCAGGUCGCCAGUUUCAUUCAGGGUAACUCGACGCUUCUCUUCAAGCGGUCGUCGAUCAUCUCGACCGGUAGCAGUAACAAUAGCGGGGCAGGGGAGGAUUACGAUUACGUGAAUCUUGAUUCGAGAGAGGUGGUGGCGAAGCAACGGGAGGAGGUGAGGGCGUCCCUGCCCCAGGAGCUUCGUAGCAAUUACGAUCUGCUGGUAUCCGAGUCGGACAAUGCAACGAUUCAAAUGCCACCCACGACACCGACACCCAUGGACCCGAACGACAAACAAUUGUUGGCCUUCUACGCCGCCCAGGUGAUCACGCAUGGCAACCACUUGACUCACGCGAUCGACGCCUUCAUGCAGACGGUCGAGCACAACCAACCACCAAAGGUAUUCCUAGCGCAUGGAAAGUUCGUGGUGCUGAGCGCUCAUAGAUUGGUGCACAUCGGUGACACGGUGCACAGGAACGUGAUCAGGAACGACGUGAAAACACGCGUGCUGGAAUGCGCAAACGCGUUGAACGAAGCCCUGAAACAGACGGUGUCGAAGACGAAACAGGCAGCUCAAUUCUUUCCAAGCGUAUCCGCCGUUCAAGAGAUGGUCGACAGCGUUGUGGACGUCUCUCACUUGGCCAAGGAUUUGAAGGUGGCGAUAAUUAACGGGGCGCAACAACCUUGAGCAUCCAAAGAUCAGGUCCUAUUCUCUGACAUGAACGAGGGGAAAAAGAAGGGAGAGGAACGAAUUUGGAUAUGUGUACGAGCUGAAAAAGGAUUUGUCGUUUUUUAUUUUGGCAAAGAAGCCACGUUGCGUUGACACCUCACUGACAAGUUCCUUGGAUUGACCGACGACAAUCCUGAUGAUCAAACAGUUACUAUCAGUUAGGAACGUAAUACGAACUGUGUAGUAGGAAUGAUAAAAAGAAAAAUUUAACGUCAUAGACUAUGUAUUCGUUACCGAAUUUGGUAAGAAAGGAACUACUCAUCUGUUAGAAUAUCGCGAUGGUUAAUCAUCCAAUCAAAAAGAGAGAUAAUCGUGAAGAGAAAACGAAGAGUAAAGUAAUUAAAUGACGGUAAAAAAUUACGAUUCAAAGUUGAUAGAUUUUUUUGAAUAAAUAUAAUGAAUGUAGAAAAAAAAAAUCCGACUUUUGAUUUGGAUGAUUAAAAAGAGAUUAGAUCCGUGAGAGUAGAAAUAUGAAUUAUUGUUGAUUGUUGAAUCAACUGGACCAGGAAAAGAAAACGCCAAUUUGCUUUUUUCGCUCGACUUUAGAAAUUACAUUCUUCCCUCUUGUUUGCAAUAAAGAGUUCUCGAGGCCUAUCGUUACUUAGAUAUACGCAACUGCCAAAGCCACAGGUAUAUAGAACGUAAGGGAAAGCUCCUUUAAAACGAGCGUAUGUUUCUAAUGUACUCGAGAAAAAUAUAGAGAUCGUAGACUUUUCUAGAAAAACCAUGUAAUCGUGUCGUCGUUACAUUAGCUAGAGGUGUGGAAUUAAUUAAAACGACGUAAAAGAUCGAUAGUGUGUGUAGAACGCGUUCGAAAUGAUUCUCGAUACGAUGUAUUAUUGUUUGCUUGGAAACGAGACUUGUUUCGAACUUGAUGAACGCAGAUGUCGUUGCCAGCGUGUUAAUUAUUUGUUCUAGGUGUGUAUCACGUGGCGAAAACUUAAAUAAGCGAAAUAUGAAACAUUUUCAUUCGCAAGUAUGUUUAUUACCGAUAUAUUAUACCGCAACGAAAAUAUUGAUUAAUUUUAACAGAAGAUUAAUAAAAUAAAAAAGAAAAUAGCCUAAUGUUUCUUGAAUGAAAAUGAAAUGCAACAAGGGAUUUUUUUAUAUGUAAGAAUACUUGGUAACUAACAGCAACGUUUAUGGCAUUAACCUUUGUACCGAAAAAUUCGAAUGCAAAAACUGCUGUCUUUUUAGAGGCCAAUUUUAAAAACGAAUUUUAUACAAUUUUACCGCCAUGGCGCAACUUUUUCGCGUCACAUCUUUUUACGGGCCUUUCAACGUAUUUGAUCAAACGCACAGUAAAGAGACUGCACAAAGGAAAAAAAAAGCAUCAGAUUUGAGCGAUACGAAAAUAAUAACUUGGAAAACAAUACGAAACGAAUACGCCUUAUACACGAUAAAUUUAUCGAUUAUCGUUGGCUAACGAUUAUAAAACUCCUAUCGAUUAUAAAACUUUCAUUGCGAUCGCAGCGUUUCCUUAUCGUAGAGGUUAGUUUUAGAUCAUUCUGACAUACGCUUUAAAACUUUUAUAAUCGGCAGGAUUGCGAUUUUUUAUUAAAAGAAAAUACAAAUUUAAAAGAAUUAUAUAAGAAUUUUUUUUUUAAAUGUAAUAAUAUACAUAAACAAAUUGUAUUCUUCGAUUAUCCAUAAAAUUACAAUAUUACGUUUUAUGAAAG